UGCCAGCCGCCGCGGUAAUACGGAGGGUGCAAGCGUUGUUCGGAAUUAUUGGGCGUAAAGCGCGUGUAGGCGGUUCGUUAAGUCUGAUGUGAAAGCCCGGGGCUCAACCCCGGAAGUGCAUUGGAAACUGGUGAACUUGAGUACGGGAGAGGAAAGUGGAAUUCCGAGUGUAGGGGUGAAAUGCGUAGAUAUCAGGAGGAACGCCGGAGGCGAAAGCGACUAUCUGGGCCAUAACUGACGCUGAUGUGCGAAAGCUAGGGGAGCAAACAGGAUUAGAUA
rnacentral:rRNA from 1 species